rnacentral:rRNA from 1 species
UCGAGCGGAGAGAGGUAGCUUGCUACUGAUCUUAGCGGCGGACGGGUGAGUAAUGCUUAGGAAUCUGCCUAUUAGUGGGGGACAACAUUUCGAAAGGAAUGCUAAUACCGCAUACGUCCUACGGGAGAAAGCAGGGGAUCUUCGGACCUUGCGCUAAUAGAUGAGCCUAAGUCGGAUUAGCUAGUUGGUGGGGUAAAGGCCUACCAAGGCGACGAUCUGUAGCGGGUCUGAGAGGAUGAUCCGCCACACUGGGACUGAGACACGGCCCAGACUCCUACGGGAGGCAGCAGUGGGGAAUAUUGGACAAUGGGCGCAAGCCUGAUCCAGCCAUGCCGCGUGUGUGAAGAAGGCCUUAUGGUUGUAAAGCACUUUAAGCGAGGAGGAGGCUACUUUAGUUAAUACCUAGAGAUAGUGGACGUUACUCGCAGAAUAAGCACCGGCUAACUCUGUGCCAGCAGCCGCGGUAAUACAGAGGGUGCAAGCGUUAAUCGGAUUUACUGGGCGUAAAGCGCGCGUAGGCGGCUAAUUAAGUCAAAUGUGAAAUCCCCGAGCUUAACUUGGGAAUUGCAUUCGAUACUGGUUAGCUAGAGUGUGGGAGAGGAUGGUAGAAUUCCAGGUGUAGCGGUGAAAUGCGUAGAGAUCUGGAGGAAUACCGAUGGCGAAGGCAGCCAUCUGGCCUAACACUGACGCUGAGGUGCGAAAGCAUGGGGAGCAAACAGGAUUAGAUACCCUGGUAGUCCAUGCCGUAAACGAUGUCUACUAGCCGUUGGGGCCUUUGAGGCUUUAGUGGCGCAGCUAACGCGAUAAGUAGACCGCCUGGGGAGUACGGUCGCAAGACUAAAACUCAAAUGAAUUGACGGGGGCCCGCACAAGCGGUGGAGCAUGUGGUUUAAUUCGAUGCAACGC